rnacentral:rRNA from 1 species
AAUGAACGCUGGCGGCAGGCCUAACACAUGCAAGUCGCACGAGUGGCGGACGGGUGAGUAAUGUCUGGGAAACUGCAUGAUGGAGGGGGAUAACGACUGGAAACGGUAGCUAAUACCGAAUACCAUAGGAUGUGCCAAGAUGGGAUUCGCUAGGAGGGGGGGUAAAGGCUCACCUAGGAGACGAUCCCUAGCUGGUCUGCGAGGAUGACCACCAAACCUGGAACUGAGACACGGUCCAUGCGCCUACGGGAGGCAGCAGUGGGGAAUAUUGCACAAUGGGCGCAAGCCUGGUGCAGCCAUGCCGCGUGUAUGAAGAAGGCCUUCGGGUUGUAAAGUACUUUCAGCUGGGAGGCGUUACCCGCAGAAGAAGCACCGGCUAACUCCGUGCCAGCCGCCGCGGUAAUUC